UACGAAGGGGGCUAGCGUUGCUCGGAAUCACUGGGCGUAAAGCGCACGUAGGCGGAUUGUUAAGUCAGGGGUGAAAUCCUGGAGCUCAACUCCAGAACUGCCUUUGAUACUGGCGAUCUUGAGUCCGGGAGAGGUGAGUGGAACUGCGAGUGUAGAGGUGAAAUUCGUAGAUAUUCGCAAGAACACCAGUGGCGAAGGCGGCUCACUGGCCCGGUACUGACGCUGAGGUGCGAAAGCGUGGGGAGCAAGAGGAG
rnacentral:rRNA from 1 species